AAUUAUCACGCAGAGGCCACAGAAAGAGGGAAACAGUAGCUUUCAGUUUUAUUCACAAGACCUGAAGGCGACUGGCUGGCAGUGGAAAACGAACCUAAAAGAAAACAAUAAUGAGUGUUCGAGUGUCUUCUUUUCUCUUGCUAUUGGUGGUUGCACUUGCUACAGCGAGAACGUGGGGAAAGUCGUUCGAGUUUAACGACCGAGCCGAUAUAUCACGUUGUGAACGCGAAGGUGAUGAUGAGUGCAAGUGUGAAAAGUACUACGAAGGAAUUGAAGGACAGGGUUGCUCAGAAGUUCGCCACAAUUGCGAUGAUUCUCGAACCUGUUACAUGAACCAUCAAUGGCAUGCCUGUUGUUUGGAUUAGGUAGAAGAGGCUCGAGCGCCGAAUGAUAGCUCAUUUGAAAACAUGCUCUUUAAAAGUAUAUAAUAAAACUAGAACUAGAGACAGCACUGCACAUUUCGUGUUUAAUAAUAUGGGCACUAUUACUACUGGGUGCUAUAGAUUCCAAAAUAUAUGUGUUUUACCUUCUUCAAAA